rnacentral:rRNA from 1 species
AUACGGAGGGUGCAAGCGUUGUUCGGAUUUACUGGGCGUAAAGGGCGUGUAGGCGGGUGCGCAAGCCGGAGGUGAAAGCCCCAGGCUCAACCUGGGAAGCUCUUCCGGAACUGCGCGUCUAGAGAUGGCCAGAGGCAGGUGGAAUUCCUGGUGUAGAGGUGAAAUUCGUAGAGAUCAGGAGGAACACCGGUGGCGAAGGCGGCCUGCUGGGGCCUAUCUGACGCUGAGGCGCGACAGCGUGGGGAGCAAACAGGAUUAGAAACCCCAGUAGUCC